UCCACCCCAACUUCACAGUCUGAAUGUACUGCUGAAGAAGCUUAUACAUGGAGUGAGGGUCGUGCCAUUUUUGCUAGUGGAAGCCCAUUUGCCCCUGUUGAAUACGAGGGGAAAGUUUAUGUGCCUGGUCAGGCAAACAAUGCAUACAUUUUCCCUGGAUUUGGUCUGGGUUUGAUAAUGUCUGGUACAAUCCGUGUUCAUGAUGAUAUGCUUCUGGCAGCAUGUAAGUGAACAAAAAAUACAAGUACUUAAGAUUUCGCCUUAAAUUACCAAGAUAGUGAAGUUGUUGGGAACUUUAUGUAUUUAAAUUAUGUAAAGUCUCCUAUCAUCAUUUAGAAUAAAUAGGUGUUGUUCUUACUUGAAAACAUCUGAAUCAAUGAUACUACGUGAAUGAAUUCUGAGUUGGAAUAUGGGAUACAUCUAAAAAUAGGACCUGCAACAUAGAAGGACCUAAAAUAGCAUAGGUUUUUCUUUGUUCCCUCUGGCUUGAUCUUAUAAUUCUGCCUUUGGCUCUCUUGAACGUUCUGAUAUUUAGGAUAGGGUUAUGGAGGUUUUGUUCCUAGGUUUUUAACUAGUUCUAUGUUUGUGCUUAUUUCCUUGGUCCAGCGGAAGCUUUGGCUGCGCAGGUGACCCAGGAGAACUUUGACAAGGGACUCAUAUACCCACCGUUUGCAAACAUCAGAAAUAUUUCAGCACAAAUCGCUGCCAACGUGGCCACUAAAGCUUAUGAACUUGGUUUGGCUACUCGCCUCCCUCAGCCUAAGGAUCUGGUGAAGUAUGCUGAAAGCUGUAUGUACAGCCCUGCCUACCGAAGCUACCGAUGAAGCAGCAGAAGCUUCCCACGCUAAACUAUGCCUCCACCUCAUCCCCGAAGGGAAGGUGGCAAAAAAAUAUUAAAAGAAAUAUUAGAGGUUCACUUUUAGCACAUAAUCAGCUGGUUUGUAAUUUUUUCCCGUUCUUCCCCUUAUUUUUUCAGUUUUUAUUGUUAAUCCUUUCUUUUAUGGCUUGAAAAAGCUGUUGUGAACUUGAAAAAUCUCACAUGGAAAUGAAAUUCAAUAGUGUUCUUUGACUUGUAAUCUACUCAGAAUAGUCCUUCUGUAAUAUAAGGGAAUAAAUUAGUAAAUAACAUUAAUUCCAGGAAGGUGACAGCAGUUGGCCAAGUGAAUCCAACCCAAAAUUGCCUGGAUGCUCUUGGACUAGUCAACAUGAAAGCUAUUGAAAGAAUUAAGUAAACAAGUGGGAUUUUG
rnacentral:misc_RNA from 1 species